rnacentral:rRNA from 1 species
AGAGUUUGAUUAUGGCUCAGCGGAAGCAUCAGGCCCCUCAGGCUCUGUGGGUUCCGGAUUCUCUACGGGCCCCAGGCUUUCUGAUGGGUCAGGAGUCUCCGUAGGCUCCGGGCUUUCUGUGGGCUCGGAAGUCUCUGCAGGCUCUGGGCUCUCUGUGGGCUCGGGUGUCUCCACAGGCUCCGGGCUUUCCGUGGGUGCAGGAGUCUCUGCAGGCUCCGGGCUUUCCGUGGGCGCAGGAGUCUCCGUGAGCUCCGGGCUUUCUGUGGGCUCAGGAGUCUCCGUGGGCGCAAGGAGGGCUUUCAGCUCCUCCAAUGCCUCUAUCAGCUGCUGGAGCUCCUCGGCGUACUCCUCCGCCAGAGUGGGAUCCUCUCGAAUGGCGUCCAUCAGGUCAUAUACCCGCUCGGCCAGCUGAGCCACCUUCUCCUCCGGGGUCAGCAAAUCCCACAAAUCUACGAUCUCUGGUUCCAGCAGCAUCAAGUUCGCGGCUACGAUCUGUACCUCCACAUAGCUGGGAGCCCAGUUGGGCUUUCCGCU